UACGGAGGGUGCAAGCGUUAUCCGGAUUCACUGGGCUUAAAGGGCGCGUAGGCGGGCUAGUAAGUCCGUGGUGAAAUCUCUGAGCUUAACUCGGAAACUGCCGUGGAUACUAUUAGUCUUGAAUCUCGUGGAGGUAAGCGGAAUAUGUCAUGUAGCGGUGAAAUGCUUAGAUAUGACAUAGAACACCGAUAGCGAAGGCAGCUUGCUACACGAGUAUUGACACUGAGGCACGAAAGCGUGGGGAGCAAACAGG
rnacentral:rRNA from 1 species